GAUGAACGCUGGCGGCGUGCCUAACACAUGCAAGUCGAGCGGAGCGGUCUUGAUGAAGUUUUCGGAUGGAAUCAGGAUUGACUUAGCGGCGGACGGGUGAGUAACACGUGGAUAACCUGCCUUAUACUGGGGGAUAACAGCCAGAAAUGGCUGCUAAUACCGCAUAAGCGCACGGCGCCGCAUGGCGCAGUGUGAAAAACUCCGGUGGUAUAAGAUGGAUCCGCGCCUGAUUAGCUAGUUGGCGGGGCAGCGGCCCACCAAGGCGACGAUCAGUAGCCGGCCUGAGAGGGCGACCGGCCACAUUGGGACUGAGACACGGCCCAA
rnacentral:rRNA from 1 species